AUUGAACGCUGGCGGCAAGCCUAACACAUGCAAGUCGAGCGGAUGAAGGGAGCUUGCUCCUGGAUCCAGCGGCGGACGGGUGAGUAAUGCCUAGGAAUCUGCCUGGUAGUGGGGGAUAACGUCCGGAAACGGGCGCUAAUACCGCAUACGUCCUGAGGGAGAAAGUGGGGGAUCUUCGGACCUCACGCUAUCAGAUGAGCCUAGGUCGGAUUAGCUAGUUGGUGGGGUAAAGGCCUACCAAGGCGACGAUCCGUAACUGGUCUGAGAGGAUGAUCAGUCACACUGGAACUGAGACACGGUCCAGACUCCUACGGGAGGCAGCAGUGGGGAAUAUUGGACAAUGGGCGAAAGCCUGAUCCAGCCAUGCCGCGUGUGUGAAGAAGGUCUUCGGAUUGUAAAGCACUUUAAGUUGGGAGGAAGGGCAGUAAGUUAAUACCUUGCUGUUUUGACGUUACCAACAGAAUAAGCACCGGCUAACUUCGUG
rnacentral:rRNA from 1 species